GACAGAGGUGCCGAGCGUUAGGCGGAAUCACUGGGCUUAAAGCGUGUGUAGGCGGACCCGUCAGUGUCUUGUGAAAUCCCACGGCUCAACCGUGGAACGGCUGGGCAUACUGCGGGUCUUGAGACACCUAGGGGCGAGCGGAACAGGCGGUGGAGCGGUGAAAUGCGUAGAUAUCAAGAGGAACACCUGCGGCGAAGGCGGGUUGCUGGGCUGACACUGACGCUGAAGCGCGAAAGCCAGGGGAGCGAACGGG
rnacentral:rRNA from 1 species